rnacentral:rRNA from 1 species
UACAGAGGGUGCGAGCGUUGUUCGGAAUUAUUGGGCGUAAAGGGCGCGUAGGCGGAUACUUAAGUCGGGGGUGAAAGCCCGGGGCUCAACCUCGGAAUUGCCUUCGAUACUGGGUAUCUUGAGUUCGGGAGAGGUGAGUGGAAUGCCGAGUGUAGAGGUGAAAUUCGUAGAUAUCAGGAGGAACACCGAUGGCGAAGGCAGGUCUCUGGGCCGAAACUGACGCUGAGGAGCGAAAGCGUGGGGAGCGAACAGG